GCUCCAAAAGUUUUAUCGGUAGAGCAUCGGCUUCCCAAGCCGAGGGCCGCGGGUUCGAAUCCCGUCUUCCGCUCCA
rnacentral:tRNA from 1 species